rnacentral:lncRNA from 1 species
AUAUAUGUAAUUUUUUAUUUUAAUAAGGUUCAUUGUUUUGCACGUUUUUUAUCAAAACUAUUUCUUCAAAAAAAAAAAAAAAAAAAAAAAAAAAGAGGAAAGGUAGAAAAAUUGUUCAUCACUUUCACUAAUAUUUGAAAAACUGUGUGUUCCUAAACGGUUGAAGAAAAAGAAGUCGUUAAAUUUAGAAAGUCUCCACCAGCCACCCAACCCCGCUUCAGUUUCAAUCCCAAAUUUCUUGUCCACGUUCCACUUUACGGCUGUCUUAAAACAUUUUUCUGCAUUUAAGAAUUGAUAUACAAUUUGUAGCUUUCCAACAAUUUCCCUGAUACAGUCAGUAUUAAUCAAGAUUCAAGCAUCGAACCAAAUUGCCAACUUUUGGAUUUGUUCUAUCCACAACACACUCAGUUCUUUGAAGUUUUCUGCCUCCUCCUUAAAAGAGUAAGUCUUUAUUUGCUUGCUUAUCUUUUUUUCUUACGUUAACUCACCUGGGGUUGUUUAUAUGGUAUAAAAGUUGAUCUUUUUUGCUACAUGUUAUAAUCUUAUUCCUAUCCUUUGCUCAAAUUUGUCAUUUACUCAUACAAUUAUGUGGUGUGGGGAUCGCUCUAUACGAAUAUAUAUAGGAGCUUUAUCAAUCAAUUUUGAGGAUCCAUAUUACAGUUCAUCUGGUGUUAAUUUGGGGUUAAAAAUCUUUGCUAGAAUCCUUCCCCAACUUUCUGUGACGAUUAAAAGGCAAAUCAUUUUGUUUAUAUUGACUGUUACUGCAGACUUUUUGACUGAUAAUUACCGGUGUACAAACCGAACCGGAAACCCGCACCAAACCUAGAAGUCAAACCAAACCGAUUAGAAAACCCGACUAGGUUUGGUAUUGAGUAAAAAACACGAACCAAACUGACAUAUAAAUAUAUAAUUUUUAUAUAUACUUGAUUUGGUUUGGUUUCGAUAAAAACCGAACCAACCCGAUCCAUGUACUCCCCUACCGAUAAUGAUGCCUUACCGAUAAUGAUGCCGUCCUGGAUGUGUUGGAAUCCUUACACUGCUGAAGGACUCAUAGCCAGCAAGCUUUUGUAUUAUGCCUUAACACUAGCUUGGUACUUGAUCUGUUAUUAAUAAAAUGUAUCUUCUUCAUAAAAAAAAAAUAAAAAAAAAAAGAAAAGGACUAAGUGCAAGACGACAAGAAAAUAGUGAAGGCACUUAAUAAAAUAUUGAGAUAUCUAUAACUGAAGUGAACAUGCCCAUAUUUAUCACAUCCUCCUUAUACUGUUUUGAUAGAAGCUAGGACAAAAUUUUGAUGUUACCAUUUUGAUUGAUACACUACCAUUGGUUAAACAAUGGUUGUGCCACCAACGGAAUUCUAUUGUAACCUACGAGUUUUUCAUUCAGAAUCCAAUUCCUUUUCUGUCAACCAUUACAAUAAAAGCAUACUUCAUCGACUCAGAACGUGCACCACAAAAUAAUUUUCGAAUGUUCCCUGGUCUUUAUUCUCAAACUGAAGCUGCACAUAAUGAGUUGAUAAUUCAGACCGACUUUGAAGGCACUUCUAAAGAAUAAGAAGCCCAUUCAAUUGAAGUAGCCUCAACUCAGGUAAUAUUUAAUGCAUUGUUGACUAAUAUCCACUGCUUUUGAUCAUGAGUAAUGUUAGAUAGAAUAGAUGGAGAUGAGAUAAAGUUCCUGUCUUUAGGAAAGCUUGAAAUCAACAAAUAUCGUGAUUUUUGUUUUUCACGAAAAUUACUCCAAAAGAAAAAUCAAAAUAAAACAAAAUGUCAUUUGUGUACAAUUUUGAGAAUUUGCGUGACAUUUUGGUAAUUAUUUUGUCCGUAAAUGUUUACCUUGUUUUAGUUAUUUAAAAAAUACAAAAAAUAUAUGUCGCAUGCAUACUUAGGAUUUAAUUGUGCAUUUAGAAAUCAAUUAAACCAUAAUUUUGGUUUUCAAGGGGGAAAUCACAAAAAAAAAUAUGCAUUUUUAUUCUAAUUGUCGUCAUCGUUUGAUUUUUAUUUUUAUUAAACGUUUUAAUUUGUGUGUUAAUUAUUGUUGAAUGUUAAUUAAUAUUCGUGUAGUUUAAUUUUGGUUUUAAUUUAAUUAGGAAUUUUUGUUUAAAUUAAAAGAAUGAAAGGGGAGGAAAAUACUGGAUUUGGGCCAAAAAAUCCAUUUGAAAAUCAGGCCCAAUUCGUUACACUGACCCAGUCCACGACCUGGGUUUCCAAACGACGUCGUUUAGAUGUAUUUGAUCUGAGCCGUUCAUCUCACUUCAUCUAACGGCUCUAAGCUUUCCUAGUUACCCGACCCACUGGUACCCGGAUCGACCCAUUCCCAACACUAAACCAAACGACGUCGUCCCCCUAAGUGCAAAGAUCAAGGCCGUUGAUCACCAAUGAUCCAAUGGCCGAGAUUCAACUCCCCCAUCCCGUAUAUAAACCCCCCUCUUUUACCCCACGCCCCCUAAACCGAACCCCCCUUUUACCUUCGUCCCCAAACCUCGGAGACCAAACAAACCCUCCGCCUUCAACCACCAUGCACCGCCCACCGGAAAUCGCCUCACGGCGGUUCCGGUGGUCCAAACAACCCCAUCUUCACACCAUAGAACCCCCUCACCCUCCUCUUUCUGAAUCUACCUUCUAUUGUCCUCGAAUCCCAGUAGUAUGUCUCGAAUAUCAGAUCGAAAAAUCAGUCAAGGACCUUAGUUCACCCGAUGACCCCCAAAUUAACACCCUUAGAUCAUCUAACCACCCCCAAUCCAACACCAGUACCCGUUUGCAUCGAAUCAUUUUCGAGCUUCUCGAAUCCUUGUUUGAAGAUUCGAGCAAAGCCCGGACAUACCCCAACCCACCCUAAACUCACACCCUGGCAUCCUCUAACCUCCCUCAUACCUGAGACACACUGGUUUCCUUUCAAACCUGGUUGGAACCGUUCGAACCCUAAAAUCGAACCAAGAACCCUAGAAAACCAAAAGCUGGAAUCAGUCCGAAAGGGAGAAAAUUUGGGUGUCCAAUGGACCUUAGUCGAAGUGUUCUCAGUUGAGAACACUCGAUUAAGGUCCCUUCGACCUCAAAAGAUUCGAGUCAAGUGUUCAACCUGGGUUCGUCUAGUCUUGUAUUUGUUUAAGGUACUCCUUUCCUCCUCUCUUGUUGUUUAGGUGGUUAUAAUUUAGCCUCGUUUGAUUGAUCCCAUUUUGCCCCAUCAGACCUUUUAUUGGAUCCAAUUUUAUUAUCAUUUCUGCUUGUUGUCAUUUGUUGUAUGCUGUAAUGUGUUGUCGAUUAGUCUGAUAUGUUUGAAUGAUAGAGUAGCAUGAUAAUUAGUCUGAUGUUUAGUUCAUUCUUGGCUGUGACCCCUCCUGCCUCGUUUGUGUUCUGAAUGUUGUGUUAAAAUGGUUUCCUGGGUAAUAUUUGAGUUCAGAUUUGAGCCUGUGGGUGUUUUCAGUUCAUUGAGCUGAAUUUAUGGUUCGUUUGUUCAGUCUGAAUUAGUCAACCCCGUUUUUGAAACUCUGCUGGUUGUUCCCUACUUUUGCACUCCAAAUCUGUUUAGGGCAUAUGCUGGUCAGGUUGAUCUCAGUCCAUCUUGUUUUGCUGAGUUUAAAUAUGAUUGUUUCCCCAUUUAUAGUUAGUUCAAUAUAUGCUGCCCUGAACUUUUAGGUUUCAUUCUAAAUGCCAUCUGAUUUAGUAUCUUGAAUUACUAGCUGAUUUGAAUUGGUUGUAGCUGUUGUAACUAGUUGGAUUCAGUUUAGUGAAUGAGUAGGUUUGAAUAGGUUGUUGAUCAAAGUCUGUAUCCAGCACUUAAGGGGUUUGGGGUAGGACAGUGAAUCACAUGGGUUUCAGAGGUAAUUUGGGGAUUUCAAAACUUGGAAAAAGAGGGUUAACUUGAGUGGACUGUCAGGAAGUACCAAUGUACCAUUAAUCUAAUGCAUUUGUUUAAAUAAAGUUGGGAACAAAAGAUAAUGGUAUGGGGGAGGUUUUGUUGGGGAGUGAUUAAAUAAAUGUUGCCCAUAAUCUUUGGAUUAAAAAUAGGAUAGGACAAGUGUAGUGGGGAACAAAACAUACAAUAGUGGGCAAAAGAAUGAGGAGGGGGCAGAAUAUUUUUCUGAUUUUAGUUUUUGAGUGCUCUUAAGAGCUGGAGUGUGGGAUCUUUUGGCAUAUAUACAGAGCCACUGAUAGGCAGCAGGGAAAAAGAAAAAAAAAAGAAAAGAAAAAGAAGAUAGAGAGAGAACUUAGGAGAGAGUGGACAGAUUUUUUUUCAGAUUUUGAGAGCUGUGAGCUGCAUCUAUCAGGCCUUCCUUUGAAUGUCUUGAAACAUCAGUAAACUACUGUUGUCUCGUACCUAUCUCCCUUCUGCUUUGGCUGUAAAGCCUGUGAUUGCAUUUUGGUUUUGCUGGGUUUUCAAUUGUUCGCUCUUGAGUUUGUUGGGUUUAUUUACUACUGCUUCCAUUGGUUAUAGCUGAAUUUUUUCACUGGGAUUUAUUCUGCUUAUUGUUACUGUUGUUGUUGUUGUUGUUAUUUGCGGAACACUACUGUUGCUUCACUGAUCUUCAUCUUCUUUCCUUGCUUUCCAAAUACCAGGUACACAAAACUGAAUACACUGGUACAUCUUGUAAGCUACUCGAAGCAUGAAUGCAAAAAAUGGGAAAAAUUUGAAUCUGUAGUUUAAUGUAGUCUUUUCUCUCUUUUACUGUCUGUAUUUAGAACAUUCUAUGCACUGCCCAUGUAAACUCUGGUUACAUACUGAAUCCCAUUUGUAUAUAUGUUAGCUAGUUGCCUUAACCAGAAUCAGGUGGUUGUUGUUUAUGUAUAACAUGGGCAUUAUCCUAUAGCAGUUUAAGUUGUAAACUCCUUCCCCGUAGGCUUUUAGUUUAAAUGGACUAACAGUAUAGUUGUAACAUUCUGCUAGUUCAAUUUGUUCGAUUAAAC